AUUGAACGCUGGCGGCAUGCCUUACACAUGCAAGUCGAACGGUAACGGGCCUUCGGGUGCCGACGAGUGGCGAACGGGUGAGUAAUGUAUCGGAACGUACCUUUCAGUGGGGGAUAACGUAGCGAAAGUUACGCUAAUACCGCAUAUUCUGUGAGCAGGAAAGCAGGGGAUCGCAAGACCUUGCGCUGAUUGAGCGGCCGAUAUCAAAUUAGCUAGUUUGUGAGGUAAAGGCUCACCAAGGCGACGAUCUGUAGCGGGUCUGAGAGGAUGAUCCGCCACACUGGAACUGAGACACGGUCCAGACUACUACGGGAGGCAGCAGUGGGGAAUUUUGGACAAUGGGGGCAACCCUGAUCCAGCCAUGCCGCGUGAGUGAAGAAGGCCUUCGGGUUGUAAAGCUCUUUCGGCCGGGAAGAAAUCGUAUCAGCUAAUACCUGGGGCGGAUGACGGUACCGGCAUAAGAAGCACCGGCUAACUACGUGCCAGCCGCCGCCGUAACAC
rnacentral:rRNA from 1 species